CCUAGUUAAUUCUACUAGUAGUUAUAUACUUGUCUUAAAGAUUAAGCUAUAUAUAUCUAAGUAUAAGCAAUUAUACUGUAAAACUACGAAUAGCUUAUUAAAUCAGUUAUCGUUUAUUUAAUAGUACCUUACUACUUAGAUAACUGUAGUAAUUCUAGAGCUAAUAUAUACUAAAAACCCUAACUUUAGAAGGGGUGUAUUUAUUAGAUAAAAAACUAACGCCCUUUAGGGCUUCUUAGUAAUUUAUAAUAACUUUAUAGAUCGCAUAGCCUUACGCUAGCGACGGUUCAUUUAAAUUUCUGCCCUAUCAACUUUCAAUAGUAAGGUAUUAGCUUACUAUGGUUUUAACGGGUAACGGGGAAUUAGGGUUUAAUUCUAGAGAGGGAGCCUAAGAAAUAGCUACUACAUCUAAGGAAGGCAGCAGGCGCGUAAAUUACCUAAUCCUAAUAUAGGGAGGUAGUAAUAAUAAAUACUAAUAUAGGGCUCUUUUAGGUCUUGUAAUUAGAAUAAGUACAAUUUAAACCUCUUAACGAGGAAUAAUUAGAGGGCAAGUCUAGUGCUAGCAGCCGCAGUAAUUCUAGCUCUAAUAGCGUAUAUUAAAGUUGUUGCAGUUAAAAAGCUCGUAGUUAAAACUUAGGUCUAGCUAGCAGGUCCGCCUCACCGCGUGUACUUGUCUAGCCGGGCCUUCCUUCUAGAGAACCUCAUGCCCUUCACUAGGCGUGUUAGGGACUAGGACUUUUACUUUAAAAAAAUUAGAGUGUUUAAAGCAGGCCUUUACUUAAAUACGUUAGCAUAGAAUAAUAGAAUAGGACGUACAGUCCUAUUUUAUUAGUUUCUAGGACCGCCGUAAUAAUUAAUAGGGAUAGUUAGGGGCAUUAGUAUUUAAUUAUUAGAGGUAAAAUUCUUAGAUUUAUUAAAGACUAACUACUGCGAAAGCAUUUGCUAAGGAUGUUUUCAUUAAUUAGUAAACGAAAGUUAGGGGAUUAAAGACGAUUAGAUACCGUCGUAGUCUUAACUAUAAACUAUGCUAACUAGGGAUUAGGUAAUGUUCUUUUUCUAACUCGCUUAGCACCUUAUAAGAAAUUAAAGUUUUUAGGUUCUAGGGGGAGUAUAGUCGCAAGGCUAAAACUUAAAGAAAUUAACGGAAGGGUACUACUAGGCGUAGAGCCUGCGGCUUAAUUUAACUUAACACGGGGAAACUUACUAGGUCUAGAUAAAAUAAGGAUUAAUAGAUUAAGAGCUCUUUCUUAAUUUUUUAGGUAGUGGUGCAUGGCUGUUCUUAGUUAGUGGAGUAAUUUAUCUGCUUAAUUGCGAUAACAAACAAG
rnacentral:rRNA from 1 species